GUUCACUCCAACACGUAUCUCCGAGAUAAAUUAUUAUCCACGAAACUGAGCGCAAACAGAUAAGCAAUGCUUUCGACUACUAUUUUCCACUAGAGCCUGGUUUGUUAGAGACACUGCUAAAACGCGAUGGCCUUCCUCUGCGUAAGUCACAAAAGGGAAAUUGCGUAAUCCUUAGCAUUUCCGAGUAGCGAAUGAUCCCCUCUGCUUUGCGGAAACGUGAGAGUAAAACAAACAGAUAUGAAAAAGUAGGUACACAUAUGACUGUAAAGACUCACUCGACGCAAGGUAAGGGGUUCACAAUUUUAUCCAUAUAAUAUGCCUAAUCAGAUACCGAAAUCUACAACACUUUCGUAGUAGUUAAGAUACCUAAACAUGCCAUUUCUGAACUGGUUCGGUGCGCGUCCUGUCCAGUGUUCAGUCAUGUGCGUCGGAAUACGCAAAGCGGGCAGCUGUGUUACAAACAGAGCAAGUAUUGACCUAACUUGAAUCGAACGUUUUUCGAAACCCAGCGAUACCUUGCGUGGCAACUUUGGCAGCUAUGUAAUCGAGCAGCAAGCUCCUUCAUUGAAUUGAAUUGCUUGUUACAACGUAUAUUUAAUUGACAAAUUGUUCAAUGUGCCAGCAGCCAUGGUUCAUAGCAUUGGCCUUCGUUUCACUUUCCACCAUUUUUCGUACAAUUGUUUUUCCGUAAUUCAUUUUGGUUAAGUUUGUAACAGUCACUAAACUGUAGUCAUAAUCUGAGGUCAAUUUUGCGUACACUUGUGAAAAACUUCAAUCAUGUAACCAGUGCUGCAACGCACUAUUUUCUGUUGGUUGGUGAAGGCUUUCAUUGUGCGUGUGUUUGUGUUUCCAACAAUUGUACUUUUUACUUGGAUGAUACCACAUCAAAGGUAUUUAUUAUUAGCUGUUCUCUAAUCGUCUUACACCAUUAUUAGUGUCGAUUUAUUGUUUGUUUACUUUUAUCAAUGCUAUGCUGCGUUCCAAAAUUAUAGAUAUUUAAAAUAAAAGACAAGUACCUACUUGUAUUGCAUAUGUCAAUAGAAAA